AAUUUGAAAUCUGGCCCUUCCGGGGUCCGAGUUGUAAUUUGUAGAGAGUGCUUCGGGGGAGACCGCGGUCUAAGUCCGUUGGAACAUGGCGUCCCAGAGGGUGAGAAUCCCGUAUGUGACCGCGGCUCGAGCCCAUGUGAAGCCUCUUCGACGAGUCGAGUUGUUUGGGAAUGCAGCUCUAAAUGGGUGGUAAAUUUCAUCUAAAGCUAAAUACUGGCUGGAGACCGAUAGCGCACAAGUAGAGUGAUCGAAAGAUGAAAAGCACUUUGGAAAGAGAGUUAAACAGUACGUGAAAUUGUUGAAAGGGAAGCGCUUGCAACCAGACCUGCCCGUAGGCGAUCAACCGCUGUUCUCAGCGGUGCACUCGUUCUGCGAUCAGGCCAGCAUCGGUUCGGGCGGUCGGAUAAAGGCCUUGGGAAUGUAGCUUCCCUUCGGGGGAGUCUUAUAGCCCUCGGUGCAAUGCGGCCAGCCGGGACCGAGGACCGCGCUUCGGCUAGGAUGCUGGCGUAAUGGUUGUAAGCGACCC
rnacentral:rRNA from 1 species